GUGUGAGUGCUGGAUGAUGGGUGUGUGAGUGCUGGAUGAUGGGUGUGUGUGCUGGAUGAUGGGUGUGUGUGUGCUGGAUGAUGGGUGUGUGGGUGCUGGAUGAUGGGUGUGUGUGUGUGCUGGAUGAUGGGUGUGUGUGUGCUGGAUGAUGGGUGUGUGUGUGCUGGAUGAUGUGUGUGUGCUGGAUGAUGUGUGUGUGAGUGCUGGAUGAUGGGUGUGUGUGUGUGCUGGAUGAUGGGUGUGUGAGUGCUGGAUGAUGGGUGUGUGUGUGAGUGCUGGAUGAUGUGUGUGUGUGUG